rnacentral:lncRNA from 1 species
CAGGAACUGGCUGGGAUGGUAAAUAAUGCAUCACUGUUUCUCUGAGGAGGCCAUGUUCUAGAUUUUUUUCCCCCUCUAGUUAGGUUCUAACUUCUUUGACUUAUGUUACAUGAGUUUUAAAAGACUAUUUUGAGAUUGGAAAUGUUAAUCUUUAAAGAACAAGAUGGCAACAAAGAUGGUAACUGUUUCUUUAUACAGUAAUGUUACUUAAGUAACAUAAUGUAACUUAAGUAUUUUUAUUGUUAAGAAACAUGUACUUAUUAACUCUGAAAAAGAAUACUACUAGCACAUAAUCUCUGCACAUUACUUAAAAAUCCAUAGUUCUUAAAACAAUUGCUCAAGUAUCAGUACUGAUAAGAACUCCUGUGCAACAGAAAAAGAACUGCAGAUCAGUCUUGGGACACAAGGUAAGCAUCCAACUCCUGGCACUCAAAGCAAGCAACGCUAUCUAACACCCACUCUCGAGUCACCACAGCAACAUUGUUCUUCCGCUGGAUUGCUUCAUAACUUGUGCCUUCCAUCCAAGCAUCUGGCUGCACAACAACAACAGCAGUGGAAUUUACUUUAUGGGUGAACAGAUGAA